rnacentral:rRNA from 1 species
UACGUAGGGUGCGAGCGUUAAUCGGAAUUACUGGGCGUAAAGCGUGCGCAGGCGGUUCGUCGUGUCCGAUGUGAAAGCCCCGGGCUCAACCUGGGAAUGGCAUUGGAAACUGGCGGGCUUGAGUGUGGCAGAGGUAGGCGGAAUUCCGGGUGGAGUGGUGAAAUGCGUAGAGAUCCGGAGGAACACCAGAGGCGAAGGCGGCCUACUGGGCCAGUACUGACGCUGAGCCGCGAAAGCCAGGGGAGCGAACGGG